rnacentral:rRNA from 1 species
GACAGCAGCAGCCGCGGGAAUACGUAGGGUGCGAGCGUUAAUCGGAAUUACUGGGCGUAAAGCGUGCGCAGGCGGUUGUGUAAGACAGGUGUGAAAUCCCCGGGCUUAACCUGGGAACUGCGCUUGUGACUGCACAGCUAGAGUAUGGCAGAGGGGGGUGGAAUUCCACGUGUAGCAGUGAAAUGCGUAGAGAUGUGGAGGAACACCGAUGGCGAAGGCAGCCCCCUGGGCCAAUACUGACGCUCAUGCACGAAAGCGUGGGGAGCAAACAGGAUUAGAUACCCCUGUAGUCCCUGUCUCUUAUAC